rnacentral:rRNA from 1 species
GAUGAACGCUGGCGGCGUGCCUAAUACAUGCAAGUCGAGCGAACAGACGAGGAGCUUGCUUCUCUGACGUUAGCGGCGGACGGGUGAGUAACACGUGGAUAACCGACCUAUAAGACUGGGAUAACUUCGGGAAACCGGAUCUAAUACCGGAUAAUAUAUUGAACCGCAUGGUUCAAUAGUGAAAGACGGUUUUGUUGUCACUUAUAGAUGGAUCCGGGUCGCAUUAGCUAGUUGGUAAGGUAACGGCUUACCAAGGCAACGAUGCGUAGCCGACCUGAGAGGGUGAUCGGCCACACUGGAACUGAGACACGGUCCAGACUCCUACGGGAGGCAGCAGUAGGGAAUCUUCCGCAAUGGGCGAAAGCCUGACGGAGCAACGCCGCGUGAGUGAUGAAGGUCUUCGGAUCGUAAAACUCUGUUAUUAGGGAAGAACAAAUGUGUAAGUAACUAUGCACGUCUUGACGGUACCUAAUCAGAAAGCAACGGCUAACUACGUG